AGUAAGGAACUCCCCUCACCUGGUUGUCUAGGUCUCAGUAAGGAACUCCCCUCACCUGGUUGUCUAGGUCUCAGUAAGGAACUCCCCUCACCUGGUUGUCUAGGUCUCAGUAAGGAACUCCCCUCACCUGGUUGUCUAGGUCUCAGUAAGGAACUCCCCUCACCUGGUUGUCUAGGUCUCAGUAAGGAACUCCCCUCACCUGGUUGUCUAGGUCUCAGUAAGGAACUCCCCUCACCUGGUUGUCUAGGUCUCAGUAAGGAACUCCCCUCACCUGGUUGUCUAGGUCUCAGUAAGGAACUCCCCUCACCUGGUUGUCUAGGUCUCAGUAAGGAACUCCCCUCACCUGGUUGUCUAGGUCUCAGUAAGGAACUCCCCUCACCUGGUUGUCUAGGUCUCAGUAAGGAACUCCCCUCACCUGGUUGUCUAGGUCUCAGUAAGGAACUCCCCUCACCUGGUUGAG